rnacentral:tRNA from 1 species
UGCCCUAGUCGUCUAGCCCGGUCAAGGACAUCGGCCUUUCAAGCCGACGACACGAGUUCAAAUCUCGUCUAGGGCAA